rnacentral:lncRNA from 1 species
AUCCAUUAACCUUUUACUAUAAAAUUACUCAAAUUAUUGUAUGUCUUCUCAUAGGAAACACCUUUGUUAAUAUAGUCGACUUUGUAUAGGAAAAUAACUUCUGAUAUUUGGACUGGUUUAUUUUGAAUACUUUUAGCCAGUUGUUUUGAUCCCCUGCUCUUUGAACCUUGGCAAUUCCCAUCCUUAAAUUUGAGAGUUUUAAUGGUUUCAGUUGAUUUUAAAUGUAUGCAGUGCUUUUGUACUGUGAGCACAGUUAAGAAUUGCUCUAAUUAAUAUGUUCAUAAAUGUUAAUGAAGAGGCAUGUAGUGAAACAUAUAUUUCCCAUUUGGGAACCCCAAUCUGCAAAGUUUUAAGUGUGAAGUAUUUUAACUUAAGAAUGGGCAUAAUUCAAUUUUUUUCCCUUUGAAUGCUGCAAAGUGAUUUUGUUAAUUUUUUAUUCUCCCUUUUAAGAUGAAUUACCCUCCCUCUGAGUUUUUUCUCAUGCUUUACAUGAUUUCAGCAAUCCUUCUUAAUUAACUGGAGCCCUUUAUGUCCUGGACAUGUAUUUGAUGGAAAUAGGAGAGGAUGGGACAUGCUGUACCUUGAUUCUGAGUCAUAAAGCCAUUUGAUGGUUUAAUUAAGGUCACAGCUCUGGAUUUAGUUGAGCACCUGAGACUAUUGAACCUUUGCACUUUGCAGGCUGCUUAACCCUUUAUCCCCUGCCCAAAUGUGUUGCUCUGGGGUGAGCAACAUUCAAGGAUUUUCUUGACCACUUCCUUGCUGAACCCAAACCCUUGAAGGAAAACCUUGAAGGAGAGGGUAAGAUGGAUCAGACAGGGAAGUCUGACCAUGGGCUUCUCACUGCCUGCAACACCACGAGGAGCCUGCUAAGUGAGUGCAGGGGGACAACAAGUGAGCUACUCUGGGAUGAUGCCAUGGGUUCUUCUUCACGGCUGUGGAAUAAGGUUCAGCUGACAAGCAAGGCUGGGGGAGCUGUGGAAGAAAAGUGCCCAGAGGAGAACAAGGGAUACAGUGCAGUCAGCUGGAGGUUUUACUGGAAUACACACACACACACACAGGGUUGAAAGGUGAGAGGCUUUUUAAAACUUCAUUUUUGGGUCAGCUGUUAGAUGCAGGGAAUACACUUUUUUAAUAAUAAAGAAAACAAUCCCAGAAUCA